UAGGGAAUCUUCGGCAAUGGACGGAAGUCUGACCGAGCAACGCCGCGUGAGUGAAGAAGGUUUUCUGAUCGUUAAGCUCUGUUGUUAGAGAAGAACGUUGGUAGGAGUUGAAAAUCUACCAAUUGACGGUAACUAACCAGAAAGGGACGGCUAACUACGUGCCAGCAGCCGCGGUAAUACGUAGGUCCCGACCGUUGUCCGGAUUUAUUGGGAGUAAAGCGAGCGCAGGCGGUUCUUUAAGUCUGAAGUUAAAGGCAGUGGCUUAAACAUUGUACGCUUUGGAAACUGGAGGACUAGAGUGCAGAAGGGGAGAGUGGAAUUCCAUGUGUAGCGGUGAAAAGCGUAGAUAUAAGGAGGAACACCGGUGGCGAAAGAGGCUCUAUGGACUGUAACUGACGAUGAGGAUCGAAAGCGUGGGGAGCAAACAGG
rnacentral:rRNA from 1 species